GCUGAUGGGAUUAAGGUUGCUGAUCAGCUGGCCCUGAGCUUGGGAGAGGAUCCAGGUGGGCCUGAUGUAAUCAAAGGGCCCCUAGAAGGGAGGGAGAGAUGCAGGAGAGACUGUCCGAGUGGGAAGAAGGGUGCCAGGAGCCAGGAAAUUCAGAUAUUUACAAUAAAGAGGACACAAGAUUGUAGCUACGUGAUCCAAAAUUACUGUAACAGCUGCAUACACUGAGAGGUUUGAAGAAAAAAAUGCUCUUCGGUGUAGCUUUGAUCUGAAUUCUACCUUGGAUAAAUGAGGUCAUGUAUUUCUAUGUGCUGACAAAAAAGAAACUUUUCUUAGUUUCAAGUGAUAAAGUUUUUUGUGGUUGGAUCCAUAUGGAAUAACAUGGUAACAUAUCAGAGGAACUCCAAACACAGUGCAAAGGGCCAUCGCUAGAAAACAGGACGUCAUUGCAGAGGAUCAUCCAUGGAAAGCAGUGGGAGAUUACACUGGAUACGCACCAAUCUUAAGAAAUACACUGACAUUAUACUCUCACGUUUUUAUGUUUUUCCCUCAAAAGCAAAGUGCACAAAAAAAUCUAUUUUCACAGGCAAUGUUGAAUAAUUUAUCAUGGCAUCAUACUCUGAUAAAAUGUCUGGCAUGACACUGACUCCAACACAUCUGCUAUCAUUGCUCUGCACUUACAAAGUGAUAUCCAAUCUGCAUCCUCACGAAUGAGUUACCUCAUGGCAUUUCCAACCUCUGAGAUAGACUGCAGUGAUUGUGCACACUUCACACCUGAACUUUGGAUUAAUCAUAGUUUUUGGUGACAUGUUACAAAAAGGGAUGCCUCCCAGGUCCUUGAGAAGGAAGUUCCUAGGUUGUAAAACUGCCAAGAGGCUGGAAGAAGAUUUACAUCUCAAAGGGACAGAGAAAAAAACGUACAAUGGUAUCUAAAUUGAAAAAGAAGUAAAACUGUCAUAAGAUAACAUGAUCAUCUAUGUUGAAAAUUCAAUGGAAUCUACAAAAAAUACUGUAAGAACUAACAAGUGUGUUUAGUGAGGCUGCAGGAUAUAAAAUCAACAUACAAAAAUAAAUCAUAUUAAAAUGCAACAGCAACAGACAAUUGGAAAUCAAAAUUAAACAAUCAGCACCGUUUAUGAUAGCCUUAAAGAAUCUCAAAUACUUAGGACUAAAUCUGAUGAAGUAUGUAUAUGACCCGAACACUGAAAACCACAAAACAUUGUUGAAGAAGACCUAAAUAAAGAGAAAGUUAUACUGUCUGCAUUGAUUAGAAACCUGAAUAGGGCAAGCCCCGGUGGCCUAGUGGUUAAGUUCGGCACGCUCCGCUUCUGCAGCCCAGGUCCAGUUCCUGGGUGUGGACCUACACCGCUCAUCUCUUAGUGGUCACGCUGUGGUGGCAGCUCACCUACAAAAAGAGGAAGCCUGGCAGUAGAUGUUAGCUCACUGUGAAUCUUCCUCAACAAAAGAAAAGAAAAAGAAAAAGAAAACCAAAUAGAAGAAAGGUGUUAAUUCUCUCCAGAUUUGGUAUAUAGAUUCAGUGUAAUUCCAACCAAAAUCCCAGGAGGAUUUCUUGUAGAACUUGAAAAGCUAAUUUUAAAAUUCAUAACAAAAUUCAAAGGACCUAGAAUAGCUAAUACAAUUUUUGAAUGUAAGAAUGAUACAAUACUAACGUUAUCAGAUUUCAAUCAGUAUUUCUUUUUUCUAUUCUCCUUUUCUCUCUUCUGUUUUUGUAUAUAUUUUAUACAUCUUGAAGUUGUCCAUCAGCUCAAUAAUCCCCUGAUCAAUUUUUUUUCUUUUUUAUGUAUACGUUUCAUUUUAGAUUAAGUCUACUGUUAUGUCUUCAGCUUUAUUACAUUUUCUUCUGUGAUGUCUAAUCUGCAGAUAAUUCCAUCUGGUGUAUUUUUCAUCUCAGGCAUUGUAGUUUUCAUCUCUAGAAGUUCUAUUUGAGUCUAUUUUCUAACUUCCAUGUCUAUACUUGUUCAAUAUUUCCACUGGUUUUUGAACAUAGGGAAUAUAAUUUAAUAACUGUUUUAAUGUCCUUAAUUGCCAAUUCUAACAGCUGUGUCAGUCCCAGGUUGUUUUGGUUAAUUGACUCUUUCUCCCCAUUGUGAUUCAUAUUUUCCUUCUUCUUUGAUGUCUGGUAAUUUGGCUUCAAUGCCAUAUACUUUGAAUUUUAUCUUUGGGUGGUUGGGUAUUUUUGUAUUACUGUAAAUAUUUUUGAGCUUUGUUCUGAUAUGUAGCUAAGUUACUUGGAAACAGUUUGAUCCUUUCAGUUCUUGAUUUUAAAAUGUCUUAGGACUAGAGCAGCAUUUAGACUACAGCUGAUUUUAUUCCAAAAAUGAGUUGAAACACUUUUCCAGUGCCCUGUGAGUUUUGAUGUUUUUCACUUUGGCUGGCCAUGUGGGAACAUCACCUGUUGUUUCCUCUGCUCCUUUUGGGUGGUUCUUUCUUUGGUCUUCACAGUUUGCUCAAUAUAAGUGUUGAUCAGUAU
rnacentral:lncRNA from 1 species